CAUGGUCUUAGCUUGCUAAGGACGAUGGCGACCGGCGCACGGGUGAGUAACACGUAUCCAACCUGCCGUCUACUCUUGGACAGCCUUCUGAAAGGAAGAUUAAUACAAGAUGGCAUCAUGAGUCCGCAUGUUCACAUGAUUAAAGGUAUUCCGGUAGACGAUGGGGAUGCGUUCCAUUAGAUAGUAGGCGGGGUAACGGGCCACCUAGUCUUCGAUGGAUAGGGGUUCUGAGAGGAAGGUCCCCCACAUUGGAACUGAGACACGGUCCAAACUCCUACGGGAGGCAGCAGUGAGGAAUAUUGGUCAAUGGGCGCAGGCCCUGAACCAGCCAAGUAGCGUGAAGGAUGACUGGCCUAUGGGUUGGUAAACUUCUUUUAUAAAGGAAUAAAGUCGGGGUAUGUAUACCCGUUUGCAUGUACUUCAUGAAUAAGGAUCGGCUAACUCCGUGCCAGCAGACCGGGGAAUAACGGAGGAUCCGAGCGUUAUCCGGAUUUAUUGGGUUUAAAGGGAGCGUAGAUGGAUGUUUAAGUCAGUUGUGAAAGUUUGCGGCUCAACCGUAAAAUUGCAGUUGAUACUGGAUAUCUUGAGUGCAGUUGAGGCAGGCGGAAUUCGUGGUGUAGCGGUGAAAUGCUUAGAUAUCACGAAGACUCCGAUUGCGAAGGCAGCCUGCUAAGCUGCAACUGACAUUGAGGCUCGAAAGUGUG
rnacentral:rRNA from 1 species